rnacentral:rRNA from 1 species
GACGAACGCUGGCGGCGUGCUUAACACAUGCAAAUCGAACGAAGAGCGAUGGAUGCUUGCUUCUAUCAAUCUUAGUGGCGAACGGGUGAGUCACGCGUAAUCAACCUGCCCUUCAGAGGGGGACAACAGUUGGAAACGACUGCUAAUACCGCAUACGAUCUAAUCUCGGCAUCGAGGAUAGAUGAAAGGUGGCCUCUACAUGUAAGCUAUCACUGAAGGAGGGGAUUGCGUCUGAUUAGCUAGUUGGAGGGGUAACGGCCCACCAAGGCGAUGAUCAGUAGCCGGUCUGAGAGGAUGAACGGCCACAUUGGGACUGAGACACGGCCCAGACUCCUACGGGAGGCAGCAGUGGGGAAUCUUCCGCAAUGGACGAAAGUCUGACGGAGCAACGCCGCGUGAGGGAUGACGGCCUUCGGGUUGUAAAGCUCGGUUAAUCGGGACGAAAGGCCUUCUUGCGAAUAGUGAGAAGGAUUGACGGUACCGGAAUAGAAAGCCACGGCUAACUACGUG